AAAUGAAUAGACGGGGACCCGCACAAGCGGUGGAGCAUGUGGUUUAAUUCGAUGCAACGCGAAGAACCUUACCUGGUCUUGACAUGUCUGGAAUCCCGAAGAGAUUUGGGAGUGCCGCAAGGAACCAGAACACAGGUGCUGCAUGGCUGUCGUCAGCUCGUGUCGUGAGAUGUUGGGUUAAGUCCCGCAACGAGCGCAACCCUUGUCCUUAGUUGCCAUCAUUAAGUUGGGAACUCUAAGGAGACCGCCGGUGACAAACCGGAGGAAGGUGGGGAUGACGUCAAGUCAUCAUGGCCUUUAUGACCAGGGCUACACACGUGCUACAAUGGCAGGUACAGAGGGAAGCCAACCCGCGAGGGGGAGCUAAUCCCAGAAAACCUGUCUUAGUCCGGAUUGGAGUCUGCAACUCGACUCCAUGAAGUUGGAAUCGCUAGUAAUCGCAGAUCAGCAUUGCUGCGGUGAAUACGUUCCCGGGUCUUGUACACACCGCCCGU
rnacentral:rRNA from 1 species